ensembl:snRNA U6 U6 spliceosomal RNA
CACUAAUGCUACAGAGAAGAUUGGUAUGGCCCUUGUGUAAGAAUGACAUGCAAAUUCAUGAAGUGCUCUGUGUUAAA